UACGAUAUUUUUGAAAUUUCA
rnacentral:piRNA from 1 species